rnacentral:rRNA from 1 species
UACGAAGGGUGCGAGCGUUGUCCGGAAUUAUUGGGCGUAAAGAGCUUGUAGGUGGUUUGUCGCGUCUGCUGUGAAAAUCCGAGGCUCAACCUCGGACUUGCAGUGGGUACGGGCAGACUAGAGUGUGGUAGGGGAGACUGGAAUUCCUGGUGUAGCGGUGGAAUGCGCAGAUAUCAGGAGGAACACCGAUGGCGAAGGCAGGUCUCUGGGCCAAUUACUGACACUGGAGAAGCGGAAAGCAUGGGGAGCGAACAGG